AAAUCCCCGAGUGAUAAAAAUGCUUUUACAAUGGAAGGGAAGGCAGCUUGCCAGCUUGACAGCUUGACAUUCGCUCAAGUGUCUCUCGUCUGUCAGUGAUUCCAGAUUGUUGACGAAAUAUCGUCUUCUGCUACUUCUAAGUUUCGAUGGCCAUUGAUAAUUGGAGAGCAGCAUUGGAAUGCAACAGCUUUGUCUGGGCUAAAUGCCCUACUAGAUAGAAUCCUCUCGGGAAACUUCGUCUGCUCCUAAGUUUUACACAAUACACAUCACAAGUUACUUCCUAAAAUCAAAACUAAUUUAGAUGAGGAUUUUGAGGUAAGUUGAACCGUUUAUAAUAAAAAACAUUUAUUAGCUAUAUAUCAUUCUUAUUGCAUUCUUGACUUUGUGUUUUCAGAAUUUUAGCAGAUGUUUUUGUGUGACCUAGGUGCUUGUGAGUUGUGACAGUAGAGAUCAAAUCAUUCAAAUGGGUCAAUCCAAUAAUGUAAGCUAUGUCUUCCAAAGCUAAAUAGUUUCUACUGUCAUUUAAUGUUUAUAAUAAUAUGUCAGGUUAACUUCCCCUCUCAAAUCAUACUAAAUCUUUAAAUAUUGAUCCCUUCCCCAGAUCCAAUUCUUUGCUGCUAUCCUUUAAAGACAACAGCAAAAUAAUGCUCCCCACUCAAGAGGUUGUGGUGACCUCCACUAAGUUCUAAUUUAGGACAUUGAUAGAUUUGAGGUUAAUCCAAUCAUCCCUCACCACUCUACAGUUGUUUGGAAACUGACAAGAGAUUACUGGAAUCGAAGACUGUUUAUUUGUGUAGAUGUAGAUUAAUUACGCAAAAUUUCCCCAUGUCUUGAUUGAUAGUAUGUGGAAUUUUAGUAAGCAAACUGUUUGACAGUGACUUAAAUAGCGAUGUUUUGUUAGGGUAAUUUCGGUACAUUCGAACCGGACGUUCUACUUAUUAAAUUCUUGAUAUUAUUAUA